CCUACGGGAGGCUGCAGUGAGGAAUAUUGGUCAAUGGACGAGAGUCUGAACCAGCCAAGUAGCGUGAAGGAUGACUGCCCUCUGGGUUGUAAACUUCUUUUAUAUGGGAAUAAAAUGUUCCACGUGUGGGAUUUUGUAUGUACCAUAUGAAUAAGGAUCGGCUAACUCCGUGCCAGCAGCCGCGGUAAUACGGAGGAUCCGAGCGUUGUCCGGAUUUAUUGGGGUUAAAGGGAGCGUCGGUGGAUUGUUAAGUCAGUUGUGAAAGUUUGCGGCUCAACCGUACAAUUGCAGUUGAAACUGGCAGUCUUGAGUACAGUAGAGGUGAGCGGAAGUCGUGGUGUAGCGGUGAAAUGCUUAGAUAUCACGAAGAACUCCGAUUGCGAAGGCAGCUCACUGGACUGCAACUGACACUGAGGCGCGAAAGUGUGGGUAGCAAACAGGAGUAGAUACCCGAGUAGUC
rnacentral:rRNA from 1 species